UACAGAGGUCCCAAGCGUUGUUCGGAUUCACUGGGCGUAAAGGGUGCGUAGGUGGCUGGGUAAGUCUGACGUGAAAUCUCCGAGCCUAACUCGGAAACUGCAUCGGAUACUAUCCGGCUUGAGGGUUGGAGGGGGGACUGGAAUACUUGGUGUAGCAGUGAAAUGCGUAGAUAUCAAGUGGAACACCAGUGGCGAAGGCGAGUCCCUGGACAACUCCUGACACUGAGGCACGAAAGCUAGGGGAGCAAACAGG
rnacentral:rRNA from 1 species